rnacentral:lncRNA from 1 species
CUUUAAAGCAUUAAAGGAAAAGAAAAUAAAAUAUGUUUUCACAAGAAGAGAAACAGAGCAAUGAGGAGUGUUGUUCGGUGGGGGGGGGAGUCAGAAAAGACUAUAUCAUAAAGUCAUUUAGGGAAAAACAAAGCCCCCUCAAGACAGUAAUUUUGUUAGUGUCUCCCCAACCUCCUGCUACCACCACCACCACAUGCACUAUGUAAGAGACCAUUAGCUUUCGGGCAGUAGAAAUUUAGAAGGAUGCUUAUCAUGCAACAAAGACAAGAGUGCUA